AGAGUUUGAUUAUGGCUCAGAUUGAACGCUGGCGGCAGGCCUAACACAUGCAAGUCGAGCGGUAGAGAGAAGCUUGCUUCUCUUGAGAGCGGCGGACGGGUGAGUAAUGCCUAGGAAUCUGCCUGGUAGUGGGGGAUAACGUUCGGAAACGGACGCUAAUACCGCAUACGUCCUACGGGAGAAAGCAGGGGACCUUCGGGCCUUGCGCUAUCAGAUGAGCCUAGGUCGGAUUAGCUAGUUGGUGAGGUAAUGGCUCACCAAGGCGACGAUCCGUAACUGGUCUGAGAGGAUGAUCAGUCACACUGGAACUGAGACACGGUCCAGACUCCUACGGGAGGCAGCAGUGGGGAAUAUUGGACAAUGGGCGAAAGCCUGAUCCAGCCAUGCCGCGUGUGUGAAGAAGGUCUUCGGAUUGUAAAGCACUUUAAGUCGGGAGGAAGGGCAGUUACCUAAUACGUGAUUGUUUUGACGUUACCGACAGAAUAAGCACCGGCUAACUCUGUGCCAGCAGCCGCGGUAAUACAGAGGGUGCAAGCGUUAAUCGGAAUUACUGGGCGUAAAGCGCGCGUAGGUGGUUAGUUAAGUUGGAUGUGAAAUCCCCGGGCUCAACCUGGGAACUGCAUUCAAAACUGACUGACUAGAGUAUGGUAGAGGGUGGUGGAAUUUCCUGUGUAGCGGUGAAAUGCGUAGAUAUAGGAAGGAACACCAGUGGCGAAGGCGACCACCUGGACUGAUACUGACACUGAGGUGCGAAAGCGUGGGGAGCAAACAGGAUUAGAUACCCUGGUAGUCCACGCCGUAAACGAUGUCAACUAGCCGUUGGGAGCCUUGAGCUCUUAGUGGCGCAGCUAACGCAUUAAGUUGACCGCCUGGGGAGUACGGCCGCAAGGUUAAAACUCAAA
rnacentral:rRNA from 1 species